rnacentral:RNase_P_RNA from 1 species
GGAGCCGGACAGACCGUCGCCGCAGGCCGUAUGGCCUGGGGAGGAAAGUCCGGGCUCCACAGGGCAGGACGCUGGGUAACACCCAGGGGGGGCGACCCUCGGACAGCGCCACAGAAAGCAAACCGCCCCGCGCCCGAAUUCGCAUGACUGGCCCGUUACCAAGGGUCGAUCAGGCUGUUUGGGAGGCGAGGUAAGGGUGAAACGGUGGGGUAAGAGCCCACCAGAUGCCACGGUGACGCGGCAUGCUCGGCAUACCCCGUCUGGAGCAAGACCAAAUAGGAGAGGCGGUCGGCCCGGCCAUUGCCUUUCGGGUAGGUUGCUUGAGGGCGUGGGCAACCACGCUCCUAGAGGAAUGACGGUCACGCGCGGUAACCCCGCGCGACAGAACCCGGCUUAUCGUCCGGCUCCCGCA